rnacentral:rRNA from 1 species
UACGGAGGGUGCGAGCGUUGUCCGGAAUCACUGGGCGUAAAGGGCGCGUAGGCGGCUUCUCAAGCGUGUGGUGAAAGUCCGGGGCUCAACCCCGGAUCGGCCGUGCGGACUGGGGAGCUCGAGUUCUGUAGAGGCGGGUGGAAUUCCGGGUGUAGCGGUGGAAUGCGUAGAGAUGUGGAGGAACACCGAUGGCGAAGGCAGCCUCCUGGGCCAGCACUGACGCUCAUGCACGAAAGCGUGGGGAGCAAACAGG